rnacentral:lncRNA from 1 species
GGAGUCCCAUCAAGCCUCAAUUCUUCAUGAGUUUCUGGAUGAGUAAUCUUCACAGUUUUACGUGCACCUAGAUACUUUCCUGCCUGGUGUUGAGGAAACUGUGACGGCAUAUUCAUUCCCAUGUUCCCCAACUGCGGAGGUAGUUGAGGUCCCAUUCCUGAUGAAAAAUUCAGGCCCUGCCCCUGAUGCAUCAUCCCUUGAGACUGCAUUGGGUGGGGUUGAAGACCUGAGACAAACGUGUUGAGGAAACUGUGACGGCAUAUUCAUCCCCAUGUUCCCCAACUGCGGAGGUAGUUGAGGUCCCAUUCCUGAUGAAAAAUUCAGGCCCUGCCCCUGAUGCAUCAUCCCUUGAGACUGCAUUGGGUGGGUUUGAAGACCUGAGACAAACAUUGGCUGCUGCAUAGGUGGAGUGCCAAUUGGCAGAUGCAUCGGC